rnacentral:rRNA from 1 species
GAUGAACGCUGGCGGCGUGCCUAAUACAUGCAAGUCGAGCGAACGGACGAGAAGCUUGCUUCUCUGGUGUUAGCGGCGGACGGGUGAGUAACACGUGGAUAACCUACCUAUCAGACUGGGAUAACUUCGGGAAACCGGAGCUAAUACCGGAUAAUAUUUUGAACCGCAUGGUUCAAAAGUGAAAGACGGUCUUGCUGUCACUUAUCGAUGGUUCCGCGCUGCAUUAGCUAGUUGGUAAGGUAACGGCUUACCAAGGCAACGAUGCAUAGCCGACCUGAGAGGGUGAUCGGCCACACUGGAACUGAGACACGGUCCAGACUCCUACGGGAGGCAGCAGUAGGGAAUCUUCCGCAAUGGGCGAAAGCCUGACGGAGCAACGCCGCGUGAAUGAUGAAGGUCUUCGGAUCGUAAAACUCUGUUAUUAGGGAAGAACAUAUGUGUAAGUAACUGUGCACAUCUUGACGGUACCUAAUCAGAAAGCCACGGCUAACUACGUG